rnacentral:lncRNA from 1 species
CUACAGUGUUGAUGGCAAUAACAAAACCGGAAAAUCAGUGCAGGAACAGAUUGAUGAAUUCAGUAUCAUCCAAAGUGGCACUGCUUACUCGCCAUCUUCCAUGCUAUACCACAUGGAAAACUUCAUCAAAACAGAGGAAACCAAAGUGAAGGCAUUGCUCAAAAGAGAAGUUGUUGCGAGAAAGAAGGAAAUCUACUCGUCAAUCCAAAAAACAAUUCAGAAUCGAAUGACUGCUGGCUAUGAGCAAGCUGCAAAGUUGAAAGGAGUAAAAGCAAUGGAGAAGAGGGAGGAUAAAAUAACGGAAACAAUUGAAUUGUUAAAAGCCAGCAUGUUCAAAGAUGCAAAAAUGGAAGUUCUGAAUCAGUUCAAGGAUUUAAAGGAUCAUAUAUGCAAGACCCUUGAAUCUGAGCUAAAGGGAUCAGUGGAACGCUCACUUUCACAAACCAGCAGAACCACUCUGAUGGGUAAGAGAGAAUAAAAUAACUAAAUAUUAAGACCUACUUUAAAAUCAGGCUGAACACCCAGUAAUAUUUCUUUUCUAGAUGUCACCGGAAAGAUUGAAAGGUUGGAGCUUCUGUCAAGGUCUGUCAUCUGACUCGUCAUUUAAAAGCAGCA